rnacentral:lncRNA from 1 species
CUAAAUUUAAUUUCAUUAGAACAACUUUUCUAGAAAGCAAAUUCUUUUACAUAAAACGGACUACAUAUACGGCUUUUCUCUUGUAUUCCAAGUGAAGACACCUAUCUUCCUCUUCAUAUCCGGAUCUUGUGGUCGAGUCUGACGAAUUCUCCAAGAGAUGUCUAUAUUAACUCCUUUUUUGCUCGAUCCAGGCUGCGACUCGUUGCUCACUUAUUACUGUAAUACUUGUCAGCUCCUUUAAGAAGGUCAAGAUGUGACGGCUCUCGAAUAAUCUUUGUCAGUUUCUGUCUUCAGGCAAUGAAGCAAAGUCUUGUAUUUCUUCACGGGCUAUCAGUCUUCUUUCAUGUGUUCACUUGGAUCAUAUUUAGACAACCGUAUUAUAAUUCCACUUUAUCAAAAAAUUCGUUUUCUUAUGACAAACUGUUCUAUUUAGCAAUCAAAUAUGAAUCAACACCUCCUUCCUAGGAUGAUGUAAUGUAAUGCAAUUAUAAACAAAACAAAAAUAAAACACGUUAGUGCAGGAUAAAUAAAUAACAAAUAAAGCAAUUCGGGUGACCAUUAGGGGUUCGGAGUGGCUCUACCUAGGGUGGGCUCCUAGGUCUCUCUAUAUGUGGUUUGGUUCUAGAGUAAGGGUACCUAAACCAGCAGAUUCCUCGAUCCUCACCCAUUAUAGGCUCAUUUGAGUCGAGUUCAAUUCAAGAGAAUACAUUUCCUUAUGGCUACACGGAGAUGAAAAUCUCACGAAACCAUAGGUACGGAUGUAUUCCGAAAGUGAUCCACUAUCCUGCACGGAGGUGAAAACCUCACGAAGGCGUAGUUUCUCACUCCCACUUAAGGGUGUGACCACAACGGUCAUGCAAUGCAAUGCGAGAAGAUAUAUGCAUAAAAACUUGAAAUGAUUAAAGAAAAUAGGAAUAAAAUUAUGAAAACAGUACGAAAAACGGGUGAAACGCAAUGAAGAGAUCGUAUAUCAAAACCAAAUUCUCAAUUUUCGAAAAAAGACAAAAGUUAAUCAACUUGUGGCUUGACUCUCUUAUAAAACUCCCCAGUGGAGUCGCCGAGCUGUCGUAACCAUUCUUUUGAAAAAACGGGUAUAGACUUGGAGAAAAAAAAAUGAAAACAGGAGUCGCCACCAAUCUUUUUAGGUGUGAUCGGAUCUCCUUAAGUUAAUCAUUUUAAUAAAAGUUAAGAUUUACUAAAACGAUAAUUUUUGGUCUACGAAAAUCAGAAAAUGAGUUCGGGAGUCGGUUACGCACGAGGAAGGAUUAGCACCCUCGAUACGCCCAAAAUUGGUACCUAGUUGAUUAAUUAGUGUCUUAGUGUCGAAAAUUUGAAAACUUGAAAGAAUUUAAAAUACGAUCCCUCUUUGUAAAGAAAAUGCUCAAAUGUUAAGGACCUUCUCGUCUCACAAUAUAAAAUGUCACAUCUAGUAAGUUAGGACACGACAUCUUGAAUUUUCGAGAGCGAGCUUGCCUUUUAUAUAAAAUUUCGUGUAUUUCAAAAGGUUAUUCAGUUAGUUAAGGUGAACGAGGAAAAUCGAAACCCAGUAAGUUAGGGCACGUUUCCUCGAAUUCCCAAACACCAAAUAUUGCCUUUACUUGCAAAAAUCUUAUUUCGAGGUAACAAAAUGCCAUACCCAGUAAUUUAGGACACAACACCUCGUAUCUCCGAGAAUAAGCAUUUUUCAAAACUCAUGUCGCGAUUUAAAAGAGUAUUCCGUUAUUUAGGUUAAAGGAGAAAAAUUGAAACCCAGUAAGUUAGGGCACGAUUGUCUCGAAUUACCAAAUACGAAAUGUUACUUUUAAGAAAGAAUUAUUAUUGGGUUGGAUAUAAUGAUAAUAAGAAUAAUAUUAAAGUAAAGUAACUAAUAAUACUAUAAAUAAAUAUAUAUAUAUAUGUAUAAUAGAAAUACA